rnacentral:lncRNA from 1 species
UAUCUCUCUCUCUACUCUUACAUGGUAUCAGUUACCCUCUGAUCUUCUCCUCGCUUCCGCUCUCUGCUGCCGGCAUGGCCUCUCCUCGUUCGCCUCACUCCCCUCUCUCCGGCGACGUCAACCCGUUCGCCGUCCUCGAGCCCGCCUCCGCCGCCAGCAUCCGCCUCAUCCACAUCCAGGACCAUGUUCCCGUUGUGCUCGACCUCC